UUUUUUUUUUUGUCUUGCAACCCUGGAAUCUUAUCUUCAUCCACAGAUCCCAUCAGUUCAGCUGAUGGCGCAAUAGAGCUGCCCAUGGAUGAUUCCAUGAGAGCAGUGAUUAUGUUAGCAAGAAUCAGAGAAAAAAAAAGCCUGCGAGAGAAGGAUACAGUACAGAUUGAAGUUAGUUUACAUUUGUCAAAGAUGCUCAUUAGGGGAGAAAAGAAAAGGGCUGCGGAGGCAGAGUACUCUAUGUAUGCUGCAUGAACCAUGGCAGCACAGUGUGAUAAUCCGCUUUCUUCCGUUUACACCUUGUACAAUGUAUUAUCAAACAGAAACAACUUGUUAAGGAGUCUGGCAUCUGGUAAGGAUUUAGGAACGAUUAGCAUGACUCCCAGGUCUCCAACGAGUAGGAAGGUACUGCAUAAACUCAACGAAUUCAACAUUGUGAGUCUACUACUGAUGUUUCUGCAUAUUUCAGACAAAUAUAGGCAACGCAGGUCUGCUUGCAAUACAUUUCUCCGAGGAUUUUUACGUGAGAUUCGCAACUGUGUGACCGAUGAAGAACAAAUGAGCUAGUAGGAUCGUAUGCAAAUAUUCGAGCUUCGUUAAUAUAACGCUACAUCUGCAAAACAUGUUCUAUAUCCCAGGAUUUAUCCAGAGGCACCAUAAACAGAUAUAUGGCACGCUAAAUAUCACUGGUUCGGCAAUAACCAUCCAAGUAGAUGCUCAACGAGACACAGAUAAGAUGUCUGUCAAUCAAGGUAGCUCAAAUUCUGCACAUAUGCAGGUAACUCAUGGUUCGAACAUGACGUACAUGGCUAAGUUCUCCAAAAAACGCAAGCCAGACUUAAUUUAGUUCUGAACAAAACAUCUGAAUUACUGGAAUUCAAAUUAUCGCCUCCACCUCGCCUCACAUGGUCCAUCUCACACCAGCAGAUGGAGUUCUCAUAGUACUUCAGCGGUACUGCAAAAUUAUUGACAGCAAUUCACAAGUUAAAAGAGCGAUAACAGAAAAUCAAAUUAUUGACAUGGCUAACAGAAUUUAUUAGUGGCAAUAAACAUGCUUUUCUACAAAAAUGAGACCAUAGCCACUAUGAUUGAGCAUCAUAAUUGUGGAUUCACAAUCAUUUGGAUCAAAAUGGAUAACUGCACAUGAGAACAGCUCAACAAACUAUCAUAGUUGGACUUGCAAGACAGAUAACAAGGCAUUAAAAGUAAACAGCUUAAAUCAAAAGAAAAGGUCACUGUGUAAAAAUGUGUUUAACAAGCUAGCAAUAACAUAAGACACACAGCAUCUAACUACAGCAAAACAUCAAUGUAACAUUCAAUUAUUAGAAUUAUAUGUCCUCAUACAGAAAUGUAUAAUGCAUACAGGCCAAUCUUUCUUAGUCUUGCAAUACUACAUUACUUGUGGGAG
rnacentral:lncRNA from 1 species